GACGAACGCUGGCGGCGUGCUUAACACAUGCAAGUCGAACGGUGAAGGGGUCUGCUUUUGUGGGCCCUGGAUGAGUGGCGAACGGGUGAGUAACACGUGAGUAACCUGCCCCCUUCUUCUGGAUAACCGCAUGAAAGUGUGGCUAAUACGGGAUAUUCUGGGUCUGUCGCAUGAUGGGUCUGGGAAAGAUUGCGCCUUUGGGUGUUUUUGGUGGGGGAUGGGCUCGCGGCCUAUCAGCUUGUUGGUGGGGUGAUGGCCUACCAGGGCGGUGACGGGUAGCCGGCCUGAGAGGGUGGACGGUCACACUGGGACUGAGACACGGCCCAGACUCCUACGGGAGGCAGCAGUGGGGAAUAUUGCACAAUGGGCGCAAGCCUGAUGCAGCGACGCCGCGUGAGGGAUGGAGGCCUUCGGGUUGUAAACCUCUUUCGCCAGUGAAGCAGGCCUGCUCCUUGUGGGUGGGUUGACGGUAGCUGGAUAAGAAGCGCCGGCUAACUACGUG
rnacentral:rRNA from 1 species